rnacentral:lncRNA from 1 species
UAAAUAAAUGGAAGAAGCAAAACUUGGAGAGGAAACCUUGAGCACAAAGAUAUAAUCUUGAGGAAAAGGUAUUUAACUGCGGGGAUUAUUUGGGUUAAAAAGAGUGGGGAAACUCGUUUCUGGUAAACGUUUCUUUUAAAUGGCCGGUCUCUGGCCAAACAUUAAUUCGAAAGGCGAGGCAAACAGUUUCUUUAAGCUGGCUUGGCAACCUUGUGAAAAGUUAACAGAACAAAUCCGACGCUCUCUUUUUUAGACAGUCUGAUCUGUUUUCUUACUUUGUCAUUUUUGGAGAAGCCAACGACUCACUCCAGAUAAAGAAAGGGGUCCAAAUAGUCCUCCUCCAAAUGUGAUUGUCUGAUCGGCACUCCAGUCAUACGGCUAUGACUUUUCCUCGGGCAGAUGCUGGCCAGGGUGUUGAGCGCUUGCCCUAUUUAGUGCGACGGGAAGCAACUACGAAUGGCCUUUUCCGUGCGUCCGAUAAACACAGCGCCGGCGGGGAGGGGACGGACUGAGCUUCUUGGAUGUGCUGCCAACAAUUCUUGCCUCCAGCGGGGAAACAAGGCCUUUCUGAAACAAGGCUUUUUCCUCCGCCGCCCUUGUGCAGCCAGCCAGAGAGGCCUUGAUCUAGGCUCCAGCUUAUGUUAAUAUCUCUCUCUGGCUCCACCUGUUAGCUGCCCUCUGCCAGGCCCCAGGGCUAAUCUCCUGCCUGUUCUGUUCCCGAGAGGAAAGGAGCAAAGGUUCUUCGGGAUUUUUCUUCCCACNCUUCGUUCGAGAUUCCCUUGGGACGUUCGGGGCGCAUUAUGACCGUCGGGGAGACUCUGAAAGGCAGGUACCCCCGGCGGGGCGCUGCAGAGGAUCAGCUCUCCAUCCUUGGGAGGGAGGAAGAGCCGGAGGACGAGGAAACGAAACAGGAGGCAGCAGCCCCAGGCUCUCCCGCCGCGGUGGAAAGCACCGCUUGCGACUCCAAGAAGGUCGCCAUUGCCUUCCUCCCGGACAAGUACGAGCCCCUCGGUUGGACUGGGAACCCACAGGCGCAGGCAGGAGAGAGCAAAAACAAGAAACGCAGAAGGAAGCUGAGGAAGUACGGCAAGAAUGUAGGCAAAGCACUACAAAAAGGCUGCCGUUACCUGGUGCUCGGCUUGCAGGGAUUAGCCAAUGCCUACUCAUCUCCACUNGGGGUGGCCGUUUCAGUAGCUGGGAUGUUUCGCUAGGGGCACAGCCUCCAACUUUUGAUAUGAAGAAAGCUGUCCAGCGUGACUCAGUUUCUCCUUGUUCAUGCUUCGUCUUUGGAGGGGACUCUAACUCNUCAAUCAGAAUUCUGCUCUUCUCAACUCAAGUCGUGUGCCUACAGUUUUCAUAANAGCCUCAAUAAAAAUUGGAUCAAAAGAGCA